rnacentral:rRNA from 1 species
UACAGAGGCCUCAAGCGUUGUCCGGAAUUAUUGGGCGUAAAGAGCUCGUAGGCGGUCUGUUGCGUCCGCUGUGAAAACUCGGGGCUUAACCCCGAGCCUGCAGUGGAUACGGGCAGACUAGAGGUAGGUAGGGGAGAAUGGAAUUCCCGGUGUAGCGGUGAAAUGCGCAGAUAUCGGGAGGAACACCGGUGGCGAAGGCGGUUCUCUGGGCCUUACCUGACGCUGAGGAGCGAAAGCGUGGGGAGCGAACAGG